UACGUAGGGGGCUAGCGUUGUCCGGAAUCAUUGGGCGUAAAGAGCGUGUAGGCGGCCCGGUAAGUCCGCUGUGAAAGUCCGGGGCUCAACCCCGGGAGGCGGGCGGAUACUGUCGGGCUAGAGUCCGGAAGAGGCGAGUGGAAUUCCUGGUGUAGCGGUGAAAUGCGCAGAUAUCAGGAGGAACACCAAUGGCGAAGGCAGCUCGCUGGGACGGUACUGACGCUGAGGCGCGAAAGCGUGGGGAGCAAACAGG
rnacentral:rRNA from 1 species